rnacentral:tRNA from 1 species
GGGGCGGUAGCUCAACCUGGCAGAGCAUCGGACUUUUAAUCCGACGGUUGCGGGUUCGAAAUCGAAAGACGAACAUCCCGUCCGCCCCG